rnacentral:rRNA from 1 species
AGACAGGUGGUGCGAUGGUUGUCGUCAGCUCGUGUCGUGAGAUGUUGGGUUAAGUCCCGCAACGAGCGCAACCCCUACGUUUAGUUGCUUAACGCGUGAAGGCGAGCACUCUAGACGAACUGCCGUUGACAAAACGGAGGAAGGUGGGAUGACGUCAAAUCAUCAUGCCCCUUAUGUUCUGGGCUAUACACGUGCUACAAUGGCCGGUACAGACGGACGCAAAGCCGCGAGGUGGAGCAAAUCCUAAAAAGCCGGUCUCAGUUCGGAUUGCAGGCUGCAAUUCGCCUGCAUGAAGUCGGAAUCGCUAGUAAUCGCAGGUCAGCAUACUGCGGUGAAUACGUUCCCGGGCCUU